GAUAUGGCUCAGGAUGAACGCUAGCUACAGGCUAACACAUGCAAGUCGAGGGGCAGCAGGAAUCUAGCUGCUAGAUUGCUGGCGACCGGCGCACGGGUGCGUAACACGUAUCCAAUCUACCCAUUGCUCAGGGAUAGCCUUGCGAAAGUAAGAUUAAUACCUGAUGGUCUCACGCCUCCGCAUGGCGGUGUGAGUAAAGAUUCAUCGGCGAUGGAUGAGGAUGCGUACGAUUAGGUAGUCGGCGGGGUAACGGCCCACCGAGCCUGCGAUCGUUAGGGGUUCUGAGAGGAAGGUCCCCCACACUGGAACUGAGACACGGUCCAGACUCCUACGGGAGGCAGCAGUGAGGAAUAUUGGUCAAUGGUCGAGAGACUGAACCAGACCCAAGUAGCGUGAGGGACGACUGCCCUAUGGGUUGUAAACCUCUUUUGUUUGGGAAUAAAGUGCCGUACGUGUACGGUUUUGUAUGUACCUUACGAAUAAGCAUCGGCUAAUUCCGUGCCAGCCGCCGC
rnacentral:rRNA from 1 species